rnacentral:rRNA from 1 species
GUGUCAGCAGCCGCGGUAAGACAGAGGGUGCAAACGUUGCUCGGAAUUACUGGGCGUAAAGCGCGUGUAGGCGGGCCGAUAAGUCAGGCGUGAAAUCCCCGAGCUCAACUCGGGAACUGCACCUGAAACUGUCGGCCUAGAGUGAUGGAGAGGGUAGCGGAAUUCCUGGUGUAGAAGUGAAAUUCGUAGAUAUCAGGAGGAACACCGGUGGCGAAGGCGACUACCUGGACAUUAACUGACGCUGAGACGCGAAAGCGUGGGGAGCAAACAGGAUUAGAAACCCCUGUAGUCC